rnacentral:rRNA from 1 species
CACCAGGCGCGAAAACUUUGCAAUGCGGGAAACCGUGACAAGGGAACUCUGAGUGCCCGUUAAAUCGGGCUGUCCAUCGGUUUAAAUAACCGGUGAAGAAAGGGCCGGGCAAGACCGGUGCCAGCCGCCGCGGUAAUACCGGCGGCUCGAGUGGUGGCCACUAUUACUGGGCUUAAAGCGUUCGUAGCUGGUUUGUUAAGUCUCUGGGGAAAUCUUCCGGCUUAACCGGAAGGCGUCUCAGGGAUACUGGCAGACUAGGGACCGGGAGAGGUGAGAGGUACUCCAGGGGUAGGAGUGAAAUCCUGUAAUCCUUGGGGGACUACCUGUGGCGAAGGCGUCUCACCAGAACGGCUCCGACAGUGAGGGACGAAAGCUGGGGGAGCAAACCGGAUUAGAUACCCGGGUAGUCCCAGCUGUAAACGAUGCGCGUUAGGUGUAUCGGUGACCACGAGUCACCGAGGUGCCGAAGAGAAAUCGUGAGACGUGCCGCCUGGGAAGUACGGUCGCAAGGCUGAAACUUAAAGGAAUUGGCGGGGGAGCACAAGGGCGAAUCGCG